UACAGAGGGUGCGAGCGUUGUUCGGAAUUAUUGGGCGUAAAGGGCGCGUAGGCGGUGCGGUAAGUCACCUGUGAAAUCUCCUGGCUCAACUGGGAGCUUGCAGGCGAAACUGCCGUGCUGGAGUGUGGGAGAGGUGCGUGGAAUUCCUGGUGUAGCGGUGAAAUGCGUAGAUAUCAGGAGGAACACCUGUGGCGAAAGCGGCGCACUGGACCACAACUGACGCUGAGGCGCGAAAGCUGGGGGAGCAAACAGG
rnacentral:rRNA from 1 species